UAUGGCCACAUCAAGUUGAAACAUUGGUUCCCAUAUGAUCACUGAAGUUAAGCAACAUUGAACCUGGUCACUACCUAGAAGUGUGACUGCUUGGGAAUACCAGGUGCUGUAA
rnacentral:rRNA from 1 species